rnacentral:misc_RNA from 1 species
UCCCUUUAGCUGUCAGUGAAAGAGAAGACCAAGUGGGGGUCAGAGACUCUCUUGCUAGUUUUAUUCUAUAUUCUAUAAGCAUAUCCCCUCAUCCCCCUGAUGUGUUAUAUAUAGUCGUAAUAUUAACUAAAAAACUGAGUACAAUAACUUCUGUUUGAAGUUGGGGGUGUUCAACGACACCAUUUUGAGUCUUGUUGGGUUCAGAUCUCGAUCGACAUGUGGCUCAGCAAGUCCUCAACGAUUGUAUUGUUAUUCCUAGUGGUGGUCCGUGCACAUAAUUCACGAUACAAGCGUCAAUCGUCUCAAGAGGGAGAAUUGUCGGACAGUAUUUCAAACCUGCAGCAUGCAGACUCUCACUAUCAGUUUCCCUUACCACCUCAGGCCAAACCACGUAACUUGCAAUUGUCACCUGGUGUCCAAAGUAAUGUGAAAGCUAAUGUCAAAACCAUAUCACAGAACAAAUACAAUCAACCACCACAUCAACUCAAUGAUCGACUACAAUAUCAACCUCCUAUCUAUCCUCAGCAGACCAGCACUCAAACUCACAUAAAAUUGCAAGCAUCACCACAACAACAUCAAUAUGCUCCUGAAUUUCAACCACAGCCAUACCAUUCAAACAACUACACUCAGGCUUUCAGUUUUAAGCAAGUAGGCAAAACACAAGGAGUCAGCACUAAUGAUCAAUCGACAAUUAUGCAUGUACCUAAGAAAACAUCUUCUAAGAGACAGCAUGAUACCAUUUCAACUUCCCACUCCACUGAAGUGGUCCUUCAUGAAAAAAUUGUAUCUAUGCAGCAACCUGUCCAAUCUGUGAUCCAGAAACUGCCAGCCUCGGAGAUUGAAUCGAACAAGGGUAUUACUGCUAAGGAUAAAGACAGCAACCAAGAUCAGUACUUAAUUUACUAUUAUUAUUAUGAUGAUGAUAAUAAGACCAACGUAAAUAAUCCAACUCUUAAUUUUGACGAUAUUUCCGAUCUUGAGGCAUAUGAUCAAAAACAAGAAAAUAACCAACCAGAAAAAAGUAACAGAAGAAUUAAUAGCCCACAAAACACCAACAAAGCUUUGAAGAACCAUAGCGGUUCCUCAACGCUGCAACCAGUAACCAUACUGUCUCAAGCCACUGGUCGGGUAGAAAUAAUUGAUGCAUCAGUAACAAGAGCCCCAAAAGCUGACAUGGCCAAUGUUUCUGAGGACUCACUUGUUUCUAACAUUUACCGAUAUGGAAACAAUGUUCCCAGGUUUCCAGCAACACCCAAUCUGGUAGACCAUCCAAUUAAAAAUCAACCAGAAAUAUCCAAUAGAGGAAUUCCAUAUGAUCGCAAAUCUUCCAGUGAUGUGAUACUUCAACCUGAUGGUGAUGUUAACUCUGGUGUUCCAAUAAGUACUCUAUCAUAUACACCAACUCUAUUGGCAAAUGUUGAACCAAGCAGUAAGAGGAAACUUGAAGACAUUAAUGAGAUAGUUGAAACUAAAACUGAGCCAGAAACUACAGAAACACCGACUACUACAACUACUGAACCUACAACUACAACUGAAGAACCCACCACGACAGAAAAACGUAGGCAACGAACAUUUGGUUUUCGUCAAAGAUCUGGUUUAAGAAAACGACGACCGGGAUCCUUGCGCCAAAGGCGACCAUCGUCAACAACAACAACUACUGAUUCUACAACAACCCAUGAAUCCUCAACUAAAAGGGUUAGAUCACGAUUUGGAAGUAGAUCUUUUCGUAGGAGUCACUUACGAUCUUCUUUUCGAAGAAAUCGUUUUGGUCAUUCCAAUGAUGAUGAUGAAGAAGACAAGGAAGAAGAUGAGGUGCAAAAAGAUGAAACAACAACUGAAUCUUCUCGUGGUAGGAAACGCCAACGAUAUAUAGGAUCUAGACGUUAUGGACGUAGAAGAACUUCAAGUCGUAUUUCCACAGAAAAUACUGAAGACACUUCUACCACAGAUGAGGUGGCGAAAAUAGAAACAACAACUGAAUCUUCUCGUGGUAGCAAACGCCGACGAUAUAGAGGAUCUAGACGUUACGGACGUAGAAGAACUUCAAGUCGUACUUCUACAGAAAAUACUGAAGAAUCUUCUACCACAGAAUCUUCUCGUUCUAGGCCUAGUAUCUUUAAUCGUAGAAAAACCCCAAGCAGGCCUCGUCUGCCAUUCAUUCGUGGUGGCCGUAAAAGAUUUGGACAUCAUGACGAGGAAGAGAAAGAAGAAGCUACUAGCUCAUCUUCAGCAACUGAAAAUACGUCUGAGACCACCAUUAGUAUCCCAGCUUCUACAGAAUUUGCAGAUGAAAAAUUCAACGAUAAAAUAGAUACUGUGGAAGAACAACAAACUACCACUACCGAAAAGAAUCGUUUUGCUGGACUUUUUAAACGUAGGAAAAGACCAACUUUAUUUGGAUAACGUUGAAGCUUCUCAAACAGAUCACUUCAAAAAAACUACAACACAAUAGUGAAAAUAUAUAAAAAAAGACUUACAUGUCUAUAUGAACCAGGCAUCUGGAGCUUCAUUUUUAUUAUGUUAAUGAUAGAGGU